UGAGGAAUAUUGGACAAUGGGCGCAAGCCUGAUCCAGCAAUGCCGCGUGCAGGAUGAAGGCCUUCGGGUUGUAAACUGCUUUUGUACGGAGCGAAAAGGUCUGCCCUAAUACGGUGGGCUCAUGACGGUACCGUAAGAAUAAGCACCGGCUAACUACGUGCCGGCAGCCGCGGUAAUACGUAGGGUGCGAGCGUUAAUCGGAAUUACUGGGCGUAAAGCGUGCGCAGGCGGUUAUAUAAGACAGAUGUGAAAUCCCCGGGCUCAACCUGGGACCUGCAUUUGUGACUGUAUAGCUAGAGUACGGUAGAGGGGGAUGGAAUUCCGCGUGUAGCAGUGAAAUGCGUAGAUAUGCGGAGGAACACCGAUGGCGAAGGCAAUCCCCUGGACCUGUACUGACGCUCAUGCACGAAAGCGUGGGGAGCAAACA
rnacentral:rRNA from 1 species